rnacentral:rRNA from 1 species
AUUGAACGCUGGCGGCAGGCCUAACACAUGCAAGUCGAACGAGUGGCGGACGGGUGAGUAAUGUCUGGGAAACUGCCCGAUGGAGGGGGAUAACUACUGGAAACAGUAGUUAAUACCGCAUACCAUCGUAUGUGCCCAGAUGGGGUUAGCUAGUAGGUGGGGUAACGGCGCACCUAGGCGACGAUCCCUAGCUGGUCUGAGAGGAUGACCAGGCACACUGAAAAGUAGGCACGGUCCAGACUCCUACGAGAGGCACGAGUGGAGAAUAUUGCACAAUGAGCGCAGACCUAGUGCAGCCGUGCCGCGUGGAUGAAGAAGGCCUUCGGGUUGGAAAGGACUUUCAGCGAGGAGGCGUUACUCGCAGAAGAAGCACCGGCUAACUCCGUGCCAGCAGCCGCGGUAAUAC